GCAGGCCUAACACAUGCAAGUCGAACGAACUCUUCGGAGUUAGUGGCGGACGGGUGAGUAACACGUGGGAACGUGCCUUUAGGUUCGGAAUAACUCAGGGAAACUUGUGCUAAUACCGAAUGUGCCCUUCGGGGGAAAGAUUUAUCGCCUUUAGAGCGGCCCGCGUCUGAUUAGCUAGUUGGUGAGGUAAAGGCUCACCAAGGCUACGAUCAGUAGCUGGUCUGAGAGGAUGACCAGCCACAUUGGGACUGAGACACGGCCCAAACUCCUACGGGAGGCAGCAGUGGGGAAUCUUGCGCAAUGGGCGAAAGCCUGACGCAGCCAUGCCGCGUGGAUGAUGAAGGUCUUAGGAUUGUAAAAUCCUUUCACCGGUGAAGAUAAUGACUGUAGCCGGAGAAGAAGCCCCGGCUAACUUCGUGCCAGCAGCCGCGGUAAUACGAAGGGGGCUAGCGUUGCUCGGAUUUACUGGGCGUAAAGGGCGCGUAGGCGGACACUUAAGUCAGGGGUGAAAUCCCGGGGCUCAACCUCGGAACUGCCUUUGAUACUGGGUGUCUUGAGUGUGAAAAAGUGUGUG
rnacentral:rRNA from 1 species